UCAGUUACAUUACCGAAGCAGAUUGUGUAUGAUUCGGAUCCAGAUAUGACGGUGGAGGAGAAGCCAACAAGAGGUAACCACCCUUCAAAGGCUGAUGUAAUAACCAACGAGGAAAGCGUAAUGCUGGGGCAGCGAUCUGCAACAUCAGACAGUGAGAGUGAUGGACAAAUCUCUGUGAAGGCAUGACGCAGCAUAUACAAGUGAAUCAGUUAAAGUAGACAUGCUUACUUAAGCAUGAUUAGAAUAUGCUUACCCCCCAGAUUAGGCACAGUGGACAAUAAAAGGAAAUUCUGAACUUAAACAUGAACAAUAAAGUUGAAUUGUGUAUCUACAUACGUGUUGGAGAUACAUUGAUUUUGUCCUGUCUAUCUGUCCAUCAGUCUGACACAAGAGAUUGUCUGGAUUACUCUGAAACUACAGAGGGGAUGUCAACCAACUUUUUAGAAAGAUUCAGUGUGCAGAAUAGUUUGGCAUUUCUUUUGCAUUCUUUGGUUGAUUGAUCUUUUACACAGUUGUAGUCCCUAUGAUGUCAUUCUAUAGAUAAAGUAUGUUGGGACUACUGCUCCUAUACUACUGACUUGAUGUAGGAUUGAUUAGUACCAAGCCUAUUUUUAAGGGUUAUUUUCUUUGACUGAAUUUUUGAACAGUUAGGUGCCUUCGGGGGGAAAAAUGCCAUGUAUCACUAUGUUUACUCAUUAACGCCGUCAUUUCUUCAUCAGUCCUAUAUCCUAGACUGGACAAGUAAGUUGUAAGUUAUGUGCCCUAGAGUUUUCUAAAAAUGCCAUAUUUUACUGUUUUGCAGUCUAGCACCUUCAUUUCUGAACAAAUCCUCAGCCAUGACUUUUUUCUUAAAAUUGUGAACAUGUCUUUAACUACUGGAAUUCUUCUUAAGAUUUUCAAGUUUUAGUGUUGUUUUCCCUAGAAUUGUGAAAUAAAAAGCAUGAUAUUGAAACAAUUUUACACUGAAGAUAUUUAGCAUUUGCAUUAUUCUGCAUGUAAAUUUUCUAUGGUUUUGGAUCCACAUAGCUGCAGUACAAGAGUAUUUUGUGUUUUGAAACGGUUUUUGAAUGGUGAGGAUUUUUGUGUUUAAAAUGAUAUUAUUUGUUGUUAAACUGGCAUAUACAUACAAUUUUUCACUUCUGAAUGUUUGUUUAUGGCAAUUGCAAAACGUCGUAUGAUAAGAGAUAAUCUCAUUGUUACACAUUAAACAACAAGAUAGAAGUUAGAUGUAACAGUGUACAACGAGGAAUUGAUUUUGUUCGAUGUUGCUCACAACAGAUUUGCAGUCAUUCUGCACAUGUCACAAAAUCAUCAGAGUUCACGGCAAAAAUGGCAACUUAUUGUAUGCCCGCACACAUUAAGUGUAUACAUAUUAUAUAUAAUAUGUAUACUAUACUGACUAAAGGUUAAGGUUACCAUAGUUAUAAAAUAUAUAUAUUAAAGAUACUAGUCAUUCCAAUCGUUCGAAUCCGGUAUAUACCGAAGUAAUAUAUAUUACAGGCGUUUCAGAUGUUUUUAGUCACUGUCGAUUUUAUUAUCUGCAUGUUGUACUGAUGUAAGGGUGCAUUUAAUUGGACCAUAAGUAGUCCAGAUUCUAGCUUUAGUUGCCAAUUUAGUGAGUGUAUAUAAUAUUUCUUUUACAUGAAGAUAGGUACAAUACUUGAGAACCACUUGACUCAGAACCUUAAAACUAGGUAGCAUGACUAGGGCUUAUGAUGUGGAUGCCAGCUAGAAGUUUUGGGGGUCAGUAGGUCAAAGAUCAAUGUGACACAGGGGCCUGAACGUUGGAAAUGAUUUCCGCCCAAUAACUUAAGAACCACUUGACCCAGAACCUCAGACUACUUCUUGUUGGGUCAGUAGGUCAAAGGUCAAGGUCAAAGGGGCCUGAACCUUGAAAACAGUUUCCAUUCAAUAGAUUGAGAAUAACUCGACCAAGAAUCUUCAAAGUUGAUAGCAUGAUUCGGCUUAUGAAGUAGAUGACCACAAUGGCUUUUGGGUCAGUAGGUCAAAGGUUAAGGUCCCAGUGACCUGAACAUUGAAAACUAUUUCUGCAUGUGAACUUGAGAAUCACUUGACCAAAAACCUUCAAACUUGGUAGCAUGAUAGGCAUAAUGAAAUGGACGACCCUUUUUGUUUUUGGGUCAGUAAGUCAAAAGUCAGUGUGACAGCCUAACCUUGAAAACUUAUUCCUCUCGAUAAUUUGAGAAUCACUUGACCCAGUAUCUUCAAAUUUGAUAGCUUGAUUGGGCUUAUGAAGUUGAUGGCUCUUACUUUUUGGGGGGUUAGUAGGUCAAAAGUCAAAAUGAUCACAGGACUGAAAAUGGGACAACCUAUCAUUGGGGGUGGAGGAGCAUACUUGUUUUAUAAACAGCUCUUGUUUUUAAAGAAGGAAACUCGGCCAUUUUGUAAAUUGCCUCUUUGAACAUGAUAACCAAGUUAAGGCCAGUCACUGAAUUUUAUACAGCAGUUUUACAUGAUGUACAUUCUUUUCGGUUUGUUUGAAUAUACUAAUGUAUGAUUAUAAAAUGUGCAUUUAAGCAUAUUGAGUAUUGUCAGUCAGCAAUACCAUGUUAUUGCUUAUGUGUAUUGAUUAUUGUCAGUUUGCAGUACCUUGUUAUUUUUUUACCUGUUUUAAUUAUUGUCAGUCAGCAGGACCCUGCCUCUUUUAACUGCAUCCAUGCUGCCCUUACAAAAUUUAUGGCCUUAGAUUUGUUGCUAAAUCCAGCCCUGUUACCUCUCAUUUCUUUGCUAAUUUAAUCGCUGAUAUCAGCUCGGUAAAUAAAACUUGCAUGGUAUAUAUGAAGUGAAUGUAUCAUUUUUUUUUUUUUGCAAGUUUUUAAUUACAAUAAAAUUGAAAU
rnacentral:lncRNA from 1 species